rnacentral:miRNA from 1 species
GAGCCUUGCUGGAGGAGGUGUAUCACUGGGGGUAGGCUUUGAGGUUUAUUAGCCCAGCUUGUGAGGGCCAGCCAGAUCACCCUCUUGCUGCUUCCUGGCAGCUGCU